AAAGGGCAAAGUAACAAUGAUGUUAUAUCAAAUCUAAUUAAUUACUCACCUUCACUCACGUCUCUCUAACUGGCUUUUCACUUUCACUCACGACUCACUACUGCAGCGAUAAUUUUUGCACAGAUGAAGGGCAAAUUUUGAGAGAAUCGUCUGAAAGAGGUAAUGUAAACUUUUCUCCUCUUUAGGGUUUCAAUUUUUUUACGGUAAGGUGUUGUCUCGUCCUCUUUAGAACUUCAAUUUGGUGAGGUACGAUAAGUACAUCAUUUGAAAGAGGUAAUAUAAAGUCUCCUUCUCUUUAGGAUUUCAAUUUUGUUGAGGUACGGUGAAAUCUCGUCCCCUUUAGGAUUUCAAUUUUGUCGAGGUAUGGUGAAAUCACGUCUUCAGUUGGUGAGGAACGGACUUGCAACUGAUAGGAGAUUAUCUUGAAAGCGAUACACGCCGCAAAAUUUCAGUAUUCUAUCAUUUGAAAAUCGAAGUUUGAAUUGAAGUGAUAUCAGUUGCUUAUGUUACUUAGCUUACUUCUUGCUCGACAUGGGGAGGUUCAUAAUCCAGUUAAUGAUGUGUGUGUCGUGAAUGUCCAAUUUUUGCGUGAUAUAGCAUGGGACCUGAUCAUAGAUUCAGAAUAAUGUCUAAGUAUUUCAUUAAUGCGUAUAAGUUUCACAUGGAAGAAUGAUCCGAAGUCAAGAAAACCAAUAAUAGUGGGGUGUGGGUGAAACGUAAGAGAAAAUUUGAUUAUUAUGGUGUGCUUCAAGAGAUUAUAGAACUCGAGUAUAUUGUUGAUUGACAGAAGAAAAAGAUAUUACUCUUUCGGUGUAAGGGGUAUGAUCCUGAUCCUAGUAGUAUAAAAGUGCAUCCUCGGUACAAAAUAAUUGAACUUAACCACACGAGACAAUAUCAUUUCUAUGAUCCAUUUAUCAUUGCAAAAAAUGUGAAACAAGUGUAUUACAUUUCUUCUCCUUUGUGCAAGAACAAAUCUUCGUGGCAUGUGGUUAUAAAAGGCAAGCCUGUGGAAGGUGGAGGAUGUAUUGGAUAUAGCAUAUCAAAAUGAUAUUUCAAGUGCCUGAAGCAAUGGUGGAUGGUGAAUUAGCAGGUGAAUUACAACAAAGAGAAGGCACAUAUGUAAAAUUCGAUGCUACUAUUCUUGAAUCAAUUCCAACUAAUUAUGGAGAAGGAACAUCUAGGGCUAAUAAGGAGGAAUCCUAAACUGAUAAAAAUAUGAAACAAGUGAUGAGAAAUUCCUUGAAGAAAAUGAAAAAACUGAUGAGGAAGAAUUUGAUAGUGAUUAUGAAUCAAGCAAAUAUGAUUGACUUGUUUGGAGUGUCUUAUCCAAUGUUUUUUAUGAUGUCUUACUCAAUAUUUUCUAUGGAUUUUAUUAGUGGUUUGUUUUUUUAGAAUGAUAAGUUUAUCUUGUCUGUUGGUAUGACUGUUACUCACAUUUGUCUAGUUCCUUGCAUUCUAAGGGACAGAACGAGAAUCAGAAAGAAAAGAAACAAGAAAAAGUAUCCCCGUCUAGCUUCAUCA